UCACUGGAGGACUAGUGGUUAAGCCUCAGCACUCUCACUGCUGCGGCCCGAGUUCGAUUACCGACCAGGGAA